UUAAACAACAGAGGAAUCAGUUUAUUAUUUCAAAGCUCUAAUGUCACACAUAUUAGCAGCAGGAUAUGCAACUUCAGCUCCAUUUAUAUACUGUGUUUCAACAUAAUGGAAACACUGAACCCAUCAGGAAAUCACAUGAUCCCCCUAAGCAUGAAAAUAUGUGGAAUGUGUCAUGGAAGCACACUUAGAGACAAUGUUUCUGCAGCAGUCUUUACAGAGAGAAGGCAACAGUGUUUGGUCUUCAGAUUUAGCGGUGUAACAAACACACAGUUUCUCAUUUUGGACUUCCUGGUUGUUUCCAUCCACGCUCACGUGCGUCCAAAUCCGCUUGACGCACCAGUCCCGAUAAGGCACAUUUCCUGUCAGUCUACUGAACACAAACCGUAUGCCAAACGGUCCGUUGGAGGUCCGCAGGAGAUAAGAGUGUGGUGGGUGGUAAAAAGAACAACAUAAGACAUGAUCUCCAUCAUGCGACGCUGUCUUAAAACGUGUCAUUCCGCCUCCGCGCGUACCAACCCAGGAAGGCGCAGAAACCCACCACGGUCACGAUGGUACCCAGGAGCAGGGCCAGGGCGUCCCCCGCGUCGUAAGCCUCCGCCGGGGGAACCACAGAGAGGAGUAAGAGUCCCACAAACGCCGCUGUAAGUUGGGAAGCCAUGUUGAGAUUUUAUUCUGCUGUUGCUGUUGACUUUCGGGAAGCUGGAGCGCCUGCGUCAGAGGAAGAUACUUCCUGGUUCGCUCAGCCAAUAAGAGAGCUCCCUUAUCAUGACGAGUGCCUUCUGUUUUCCUUUUUUUUUUCUAUUAAAAAAUAUUCACUUCAUGUUUUAACACAUUCCUCUUAUUUCUUAUUUCUCUUAUGGCUCUGUAACAAUUUGAAAUUUAAGCUGUUACUUUUAGACUUUAAGAAAAAUGUGAUUGUCCAGGUUCACUGCAGAUUUUUGACAUGACUCCUCUUUAGAGUGACAUUUACACUGACAGACCAUCAAUGUCCCUCCUUCUCAGACACAGCUGCAGACUGAAGACUAAUGCUGCAACAAUCUGCUCCUCCUUUUUCCCGUCCAAGUUUUGCAGUAGUUGUUUGGAUGUUGAUGCUUUGUGUUUGCUUGUGUUCAAUCCAGAAAAUCAGUUUUAACAUUAACCCUAGUACACUAUAACUAAAAUUAGUAAAACCAUCACUAUCGAUUUUUACCCGAAAUAAUAUACCAAAAAAAGUACUUGUCAUCAUGUAUAUCAAAAUAGGGCAAUACAUGACAAAUUGAAAUAGUUCUCUAUUAUUUUCAACUUGCAAUGGAGGGGAAAAAGUGCCAUGAGGUGGCCACAUAAAAUGCAACAAAAUAACUGAAAUUAGGCAUUCAUGAACAAAAAAAAAUCCUAAAAAAAAAAGGUAUUUAGAAACUGUAAACUUAGUUUUUAAACUAAAACUUAGUCUUUUCCACCAAUUCCUGGGGCAUGUUAGUCUUUCCUGGUGAAGACUCAGGGUCCUUGGCACAAUAACAGCUGCAGGAGAGAGAACCAAAAUAUUGCAUAUUUUGAGUGAGUAAAAAUGACCAGCUUAGUAAAAUAUUUCUUAUCACCAUAUAAAUUCCCUUAAAAAUCACUACUUUGUGAUAGUUAUUCAUAACCACUGCGCUACAAAAAGAUAGCAGGACCACUCUUACUGACCUUAUUUGCCUACUUGCAGCUAUCAAAUCCACCCAAACCUACUUACCCUCUAUCACUAUUGCUGAGUGAAAAUCACCCAAACACGUGCCUGUAGGAAAAAGCAGGUUUUGGAUCAAGGAAACAAAUAUGCCCUCAAAGAUGUCAAAGGCAAUGCUGAAGCUACCCACAUACCCAUGAUACUCAAUGGCCUAGCUGUUUGCAAGCUCUCUACUCUCUCUUGCUCUUUCUCUGUGCUUUCCAGGGGCACUUCACCUGUAAUCUAAUUAGAGCGCACAAGUCAAAGUAAAAUAUUGACCUUGUAAGGCUGCCAUGCUUCUGUACCUUUCUGCUUCAAGCAGGGAGAUGAAUAGGCAUACUUAUGGCUUUCUCAUCACACUCGCUCUCUUUCUUGCUUCCGUUGUCUCUUUGGCAAUUUGUCUGAAACAGAAGCUUUUCUGAGCUCUGUGUGAUCUCCAUGGCUGCAUUUGGCAGACCACAUGGCCCAGUGCAAGCCUUUCAAAGGGCUUCUUAUUUAUAACAUUACUCACACCGAACAUCCGAUUCUGCUACUCCCCAUGUGUGUUUUCUUUGAUGAUAUAUUUGUUCCCUAAACUCAAGAAACUUAGCCGUUUUACACCAUGGCAGAAGCAGCUCUUGGAUUACAGUGACUGAUCAGAGGGAAUAUGAGAGGAUUUUCAGAAAUAAAAGUGUUUGUCCAACAGACCUGAACAGUGACAUUAAUCUUCGCUACUAAUGUGUUCUGCAUCAUAAUUUGCUGCUCAGCAUCAGGAGGAUCUGCCCUGAUAUAGCAGCUCACACACACACUCAGUACAAACAUUCAUUUUUUAGUGUAGAAAAAUAGCUGUUUCUCUGUUUAACUGUUACUUAAAUGACACCAAAGGUUUUGUGCAGAUAACCAACAUCUACUGGUUCCUAACAGAUCUUGGUGAAUUAUUGCUGAAGCUCCUUAUGUAAAUGCUGAAUGUUGUUUCCCAUAGUUGUAGCACAAGGUGAGCUCAAGUCCCAACACUUAAGCACAUUAUCAAUGCCAAAAUAGCUAAUCUUGCUUAUCUAAGCUUGCACUUUGCACUUCUUUACCAUCGUCUGUUUUGCUAUGUUCUGUCACAAUAAAGAUAUCACUCAAUACCAAUGUCACUCUGAACCUAAAUUUGACACCUUCUGGAUAAUUAAUUUUAUGUUAUGAAGGAUAUUGGCACAAAUCAAAACAAACUCCAAUGAUAUGUACAUGGAUUUUAAGUACAACUCAAUUCCAAGUCAAAGCUUUUAUGUUGUUGCAUUACCGGGGACUUAUUUUCUUGCUCUUUUGACCUGCAUGGUUAUUUCUUGCCUUGAGUUGAGUUGGCUAUUUCAGCACUUUUAAACUAAACAUUUCACUUGUUCGUUUAAGUGAGGGACUCCAUACUGAGUUAUCUGUCCUCAAUGCUCACAGGUCACAUAAACUGAAAGGCCAGUUUUCAGAGACCUCGGUUUUGUGAGCAUCCAUUCUCAAUUACUCCUUACAAGAAUGAGGACACAGCAAGUUCCACCUUCACCAACCAGCACAAAACAUCUCUCCCUGAAGAUUAAUUAUGUUCUGAAAUUGGUUUCUCAGAAAACACUGAAAAGCUGACCCUUUAAAGCAAUUGCUGCUUUUGUAGUGCUUCAGCACACCAUCCGUAAUGAAUUGUACUGUGAGGGACAUGACAAAUGGAUUUUCCUGUGUCUUUUGUGGCAGUGUGCGAGAUGUUGAAAUACUUAAAGAGGACCUAAAUCAACACCAGGAAAGAAAAAAAAAGAAGGAAAAGGUCAGCUGGGUUCUGUGCAACACGGUGUUGGACCACACUGACUCACACUCUGAUUAGGGAUGUGGACUAGGUUGAUUGAAACCAACAAAACCUUCCAAAAGAAUAGAUGUAUCAGCGUAAUUACCCAUUCAUAUUGGAAGUAGAGAGGGAGUGCGAGGGUGGAUGCUUGAAAAUCAGACAUUUAGUGUUGGACUGACAGUUGUAUAAUGCUUUAAAGGGUAAUCAAUUCAUCCUUGUUUUUAUUGCUUUGUGUUUUCCAGAGACAUGAAUUUACCAAAGAAAAUCUGUCACAGUGAAUAUUUAGUCCUUUUUUAUAAGAUGUGGUGUGUUUGUUAUUAUCACAUGAUACUCAGACCUUCAUGAUGCAUUCAAGUGAUAUUUUAGAGCUGUCGAAUAGUAUAGCUAUUUCACAGAAAAAUCAAUCUUAGAGCAAAACCCUCACAAUACUGCAAAGCUCCUCCGCAAGAUGGUAUCCAAGAAAGUUUGAGAAGAUAUUUGAUGAUUUGCAUUUUAACCACAAGCAGGUUUCUAAUCAGUGAUUCUCUUAAAAGAGAAAUCAACUGACUCAAAGUUUAUAUUUUCUGGAAACUGGCAAGUUAUGUUUCUGUCGAUAUGAAAAUGUGAUAAAUAGUUAUCAAGUGAGUUUGUAUGUGUUUGAAAAGGGAUUUGUUUAUUUAAGAUUUGGUGCAGGGCAGGCUAGGUACAUUAAAUGUCCUUCUAUAAAAAGUUUAUUUUUAAUCUUUUUUUAUUAUCAUUUUUUUUUACUGUGAGUCAAAUAUAUGUUUGUAGAAUCAAGAUGUUUGCUGAGUUCAGUUAAAAUUGAUUUCUUGGACUUCGUGUAGGCUGGGGCUGUCUUAAUACAUCGCUAUUGGAGAUAAUCAUGGUCCUGUCUGUGUAACUUAACUUCUGACAACAAUGUAGAUAAGAUUACAAAGAACAGCAUUUCCUGAGCUAACCCAAUAAAGUAAAAUCUGUUUGUGGUCACUAAGACCAGCUACAUGAAUAUCUUUGAAAAUGAAUCUGCCAAUGCAGAUGCAGCUUUGAAUUGGGUCAGCUACCUAACAUUGUAGAAUAUCAUUAUAUGACACGGUAUUUCAUCACAAAAAUACUAAAGUUUUAAUUGUGUUUCUGCAUCAUGUAAUCACUGUUGUUGUAGCCAACGUCUUAUCCCCCGAAUGACUC